rnacentral:rRNA from 1 species
UGGGGGAUAUUGCACAAUGGGCGAAAGCCUGAUGCAGCGACGCCGCGUGAGGGAAGACGGUUUUCGGAUUGUAAACCUCUGUCUUCGGGGACGAAAAUGACGGUACCCGAGGAGGAAGCCACGGCUAACUACGUGCCAGCAGCCGCGGUAAUACGUAGGUGGCAAGCGUUGUCCGGAAUUACUGGGUGUAAAGGGAGAGUAGGCGGGAUUGCAAGUCCGUUGUUAAAUCUAUCGGCUUAAACCGGUAGCUGCGGCGGAAAACUGUAGUUCUUGAGUGAAGUAGAGGCAGGCGGAAUUCCGAGUGUAGCGGUGAAAUGCGUAGAUAUUCGGAGGAACACCAGUGGCGAAGGCGGCUUACUGGGCUCUAACUGACGCUGAGGCACGAAAGCAUGGGUAGCAAACAGGAUUAGAUACCCUGGUAGU